GACCCUAUGGCCACUAUAGGGACGCCAUAGGGACACCAUAGGGACCCUAUGGCCACUAUAGGGACACCAUAGGGACACCAUAGGGACCCUAUGGCCACUAUAGGGACACCAUAGGGACGCCAAAGGGUCCCCAAUGCCACUAAAUGGGACCCCAAUGGGGACAGGACCACCUUGAGGACCCCCUGUGCCACCAAUGAAACCCCCCAGGGCCACUAAUGGGAUGGGACCACCUAUGGGACCCCCAGAGCCACUAAAUGGGGACCCCCAGGACAACCAAUAGGAUCCCCAUGGCCACCUUGGGAAUGGGACCACCAAUGGGACCCCCAUAGUCACCAAUGGGACCCCCAUGGCCACCAAUGGGGACAGGACCACCAAUGGGACCCCCAUAGUCACCAAUGGGACCCCCAUGGCCACCUUGGGGACCCCCAGGGCCACCAAUAGGACCCCCAGGACCACCAAUGGGACCCCCAUCUCCACCAAUGGGACCAUCAUAGUCAUUAAUGGGACCCCCAUGGCCACCAAUGGGACCCCCAUGGCCACCAAUGGGACCCCCAUAGACACCAAUGGGGACAGGACCACCAAUGGGACCCCCAUAGUCACCAAUGGGACCCCCAUGGCCACCUUGGGGACCCCCAUAGCCACCAAUGGGACCCCCAGGACCCCCAGGACCACCAAUGGGGACAGGACCACCAAUGGGACAGGACCACCAAUGGGACCCCCAAUGGGACCCCCAUAGUCACCAAUGGGACCCCCAUGGCCACCAAUGGGACUCCCAUAGACACCAAUGGGACCCCCAUAGUCACCAAUGGGACCCCCAGGACCCCCAUAGUCACCAAUGGGACCCCCAUAGCCAUUAAUGGGACCCCCAGGACCCCCAGUGGGACCCCCAUAGUCACCAAUGGGGACAGUACCACCAAUGGGACCCCCAAUGGGACCCCCAUAGUCACCAAUGGGACCCCCAUGUCCACCUUGGGGACCCCCAGGGCCACCAUGGGGGGGUGGGGGGGGUCAGGGCAGGAGCAGAUGGAACCAAUAAAGGUGCCACCAGAACUUGAUAACGUCCCCUG
rnacentral:lncRNA from 1 species